AGAGUGAACGCUGGCGGCAGGCCUAACACAUGCAAGUCGAGCGGCAGCACAGCAGUAGCAAUACUGUGGGUGGCGAGCGGCGGACGGGUGAGGAACACAUCGGAAUCUACCUUCUUGUGGGGGAUAACGUAGGGAAACUUACGCUAAUACCGCAUAAGACCUGAGGGUGAAAGCGGGGGACCGCAAGGCCUCGCGCGAGAAGAUGAGCCGAUGUCCGAUUAGCUAGUUGGUGAGGCAAAGGCUCACCAAGGCGACGAUCGGUAGCUGGUCUGAGAGGAUGAUCAGCCACACUGGAACUGAGACACGGUCCAGACUCUACGGGAGGCAGCAGUGGGGAAUAUUGGACAAGUGGGCGCAAGCCUAGAUCCAGCCAUGCCGCGUGUGUAGAAGAACGGCCUUGGUUGUAAGCUACGUUUGGUUAGGG
rnacentral:rRNA from 1 species